GUGCCAGCAGCCGCGGUAAUACCGGCAGCCCAAGUGAUGGCCGCUGUUAUUGGGCCUAAAGCGUCCGUAGCUGGCCGCACAAGUCCGUCGGGAAAUCCACUCGCCCAACGAGUGGGCGUCCGACGGAAACUGCACAGCUUGGGACCGGAAGGCUCGAAGGGUACGGCCGGGGUAGGAGUGAAAUCCCGUAAUCCCGUCCGGACCACCGAUGGCGAAAGCACUUCGAGAAAACGGAUCCGACAGUGAGGGACGAAAGCUAAGAUCGCGAACCGGAUUAGAUACCCGAGUAGUCC
rnacentral:rRNA from 1 species